rnacentral:lncRNA from 1 species
AACGAGAGGUGGAUUACAGAUCAUAUAUACGAUAGUAUACUAGUUGAUCAUAGUCAUAUAUACGCCCUGAAAUGCCACUAGCUGUGGAUUUCGGAUUCCUUUGUAAAGCUUCAAGGUGCAGGCAUCACUCAUGCGAAGCUGGCAACAAUGGCAGCAGAGCUAUCCUACUAUUCAAGCUUCAAGCUAGCAUAUUUGGAUAACAGCUCCUACAUGAAAAUGUGCAAUUCAGUUUACCGAACUCCUGAGAAGCGUUUUCCUUUUGUCAUCCUAUGUGCAAUUCAUGAUGUUACGAGACUGAGAUACAGAACACUGUACAUCCAGUAAUUUUGUUUUGGUGGUCUGGGAUAGGUAGAACUCUGCUCUGGCUUCCUCCUGGUUCAAGCACCGAUCAACCUGAGAAAAUAGAAAGAGAACGAAUUAUAGGUUGUUACAUAAACAUAGAAUUGACUUCUUUGGGAUGCCAAAGUUUCAAGCAUUACUGACCUUCCGCAGGUAAUUGGAGAAGGAAUCACCCCAAAACCACCACUCCAAAGAUAGCUGAGAGUAGUAAGCAGCAGCUUCUGCUAGCAUUAUCUGCUCCAGUUUUUCAUAAUAGUUGGUGGUUCCAUUCCCUCCAACCUCUAAAAAGAAAUCAAGUACCCUCUUUAGUAGGUUCCGAUCAAUCUGCCCCCCUUCACGCUCUUGAAUGAUCUGCCCAUAAAGUCAUAUGCAGGGUUAAACCAACCUCAGAAAGAAGACAACCCAUUAUAAAACAACCAGUGAAUGCUAACUGACCAGCCUCAUCAUUGCUUCCUGCAAUUUACUGAAUAGCUCAUCACAGACCUGAAAAUAAGAUUGGAUAUGAUGCUCAGCCAAAUAGUGUAAGGGAACAGAAGCAAGAAUAAGAACUAAACUACUUCAUGUAGUUACUUACCAAAUUGCAGAAGUCAUAUCUCAUGGAGUCAGCAGGUGAUGGAUGUCUUUUCCUACGGAUGUAGAAAUUAUCCAGGUCUGCAAAGGUUUUUGACAAUUCCUUAUACUCCAGCCAUAAUCGCGUGAUUUCUGUUAAAAGCUCUGUACCAUGUUUGUCCAUUAACACUGGAAGUACCUAAAAGAGCAUGCAAGGAUGGAAAACAACGGGAUGUGUUCAUUAUUAUAUUCAUUGCACUUUGACAAAGAUGAAAGCAAAAGAAAUUGAAACCCUUCUCAACUGCCACGUCUCAUUUCUCCACUUUUGUAAAUUACAAAGACCACCAAUCUAGACUAAGCUAGAUAGCUAGAGAAAACAAAAUUGGGUAUGCAUAACCAUGAGUAAAGCAUCUUGCAAAAUUAUCCUAUGCAAUAAGUUAUAAACAAGAGAGCAUGUCAUAGUGAGAGUUUCUCAUGCUUUGACAUUCUUAGCCAACACAUUUAAGAUACAUGAGAGCCAAUUCUACCAGAGAAAUUAUGCAGAAGCGAAGAAACUGACAGAAUUAUUGAUUAUUUAUGGUAGAAAUCUCACCCUUUCUUGAAUUAUCUCACUUAAACAGUUCGUAUACUUCUCAUAAACCAGGCUGCAAGAGUCCCCACGCUUCCUUGUGCACAAAUUGUAUACACAACUAUCACAAGUGUUAAGGAUAUGCCAAUUCUCGGCAACUAAAAUCACAUUCAGGAAUAUUGAUUUAUCUCGUCAAGUAGAAAAGAAAUCAAGAUAUCAAACUUCGACAUGUAAGUAAACCAUAUUGCAGGAUACUCAUAAGCAAUCAUUUUUUCCGCAGGUGUAAAUGGAAUCACAGGGUGUCCAUCCAUAAUCAUCUUCUUCUUCGUAAUUAUAUCAUCUAUCUUCUUUAGCUUCUCAUUCAACAUCAUGUCAGCAUCCAUCUUCAUUUAGCUGCAGUCGAAAACAUUUAAAAUUGUAAUGAUCGAAGUUCAAAAUCAAAGAAAGAGAUAGCAUGCAUAUCUGUAUUGCACACUCAUCCGACUAUUUCUCAUUUUCCUUUUAAAAAUAGAAUUUCUAAAGUCUACAAUAGCAUCCAAAACCCUUUGAACAGACUAGAAAGUUUCUGGCGUUGACAAUUAAACUUUAUACCAAACAAACUACAUCCAAGGUCCUGCUCUAAUUAAGACCUGAAAAAGGAGUACACUUGUAGUGAAAAAUAUCAAGAGACUACUGCCAUAGGAGACAGUGUACAAGCACACAUUCCAGAACUAAUUCAAGAUUCAAUCAAUAUCCAUAAAGCAUGAAACUUUAGGUGACCCCAUAUACCAAAAAACAUACAACCAGCAGUGUCAAGCAUGUUUGGAGAGAUUAAAAAUUGGACAUUCACAGCCAGACAGAAAAAUCGCAAAAAAAAUACUCAAAGCAAGGAAAUUUACAUCACCCCACAUGCCCCAACACAGAAAGAAACACUAUCAAGCUGGUUGGAAAUCUUAAGAGAUUACAAAUUAGAAACUAAUUUCUUUUCCUACGUUGCACGCAAAACCCCAUCACAAAUUUUGCACCUUUUGACCAUCAAAAUUACAAAUUGUAAUUGUAAUAAUAUUCACUAAAACCCACGUGAUCAAUGGCCAAAAACAAUUAAAAUACGUUCAAGAACUACCUGGUUAAGCAAAAGAGUGAAACAAGAAUCAAAUGCAGCAGAGAGAGAGGAAGUGAAGAAAAAAGUGGGGUUUGCAUUAUACUUAUAGGGAAAGCAGCUUGCAGGGGAAGUUGAAGGGAAAGGUGGGGCUUGCAUAUACUUGUAAGGAGAAGCCACCUUGCAGUGAAAGUUGAUAGGACAUAGGUCCAUAGACCAUAGGCUGUUGUUUCUUAUGUAAUAAUUGUUAUACUUUUUAAAAAUAUUUAAAAAUAUAUUAAAAUAAUAUUUUUUUAAUUUUUAAUAUUAUUAUAUUAAAAAAAACAUGUUAAUUUGAUAUUUUUUCAUAUACAAAAUAAUUUUAAAAAUAAUUUGAAUUAAUUUAAAUAAAAUUCAAUAAAGCAUAAAUAAUGAUAGCCAUAGUUGUAAGAAACUACUUAAAUGAAUUCAUUUGAUUCAAGAUUCAGAUUGAGAAUUAAGUGGUUUAAUAUGUAAAUUAAUUUAUAAAUUAUAAUUUAAAAAAUAAAAUAUAAAAUGAUGUUAUUUUAAUUAUAUAUAAAAAAAAACAAUUCAAAUAAAACUUGAUGUAAACCACAUUUUGGGUCAAUGAAUUACUAGAUUGGCAAGUCAGACAAAGUCAAUUUUUAUAAUUAUGAUAGUAAAGGCUAAGUUGCUUAGUGAAAAAUGGCACUAAAAUAUAAUGUGUUUAGAAAUGUGGUAAUUUUUAUUUUUAUGUGUGUUUUAAAAGUGCAUUUUAUUUGAAAAGAAAGACAAAUAGUAAAUUGAUAUUUUUUUAGUGUUUUUUUUAUAAUUUUAAUGUGUUGAUGUCAAAAAUAAAUAAAAAAUCUAAAAAAAAUAUUUGAUGUAUUUUCAAGCAAAAACUAUUUUAAAAAAAUAUUUUACAUCACAAUACCAAACAUACAUGAUUCAAAUUGAGGACUAAGUGGUUUAAACCGUAGAAUUAAUUUAUAAAUUAUGAUUUAAAAAAUAAAAAUAUGAAAUGAUGUUGUUUAAAAUAUUUUUCUAAACAAUGUUAUUUUAAUUAUAUAUAUAUAUAUAUAUAUAUAAAUUUAGUAAAACUUGAUGUAAACCAUAUCUUGGGUUAAUAAAUUACUAGAUUGACAAAUCAAGCAAAAUCAAGUUUUAUAACUAUGGUUGUAAAUGCUAAGUUGUUUGGUGAAAAGUGGCACUAAAAUAUUAUGAGUAUUUGAAAGUGUUUUAUCUUUUAUUUUUAUAUGUGUUUUAAAAGUGCAUCUCAUUUGAAAAAAAUAUUAAAUUAAUGUGUUUUUUGCUUUUUUAUAAUUUUAAUGUCUUGAUGUCAGAAAUAAAUAAAAAAUCUAAAAAAAAGUAUAUAAUGUAUUUUCAAGUAAAAAUUAUUUUUUAAAAUACUUUAUAUCAUAGAAUUGAGGUUGACUUGACUUGAGGUUGAAAUAUUUAAAAGACAUAUUAUACUAUAACUUAAAAUGCGUGAAUUUUUUUUAUUAUAGAGGCAAUUAUUGUUUAUGCACACACAAAUCACUAUGAAUAGAAUUGUUAUGCACUAUGCAUUUGUUAAAAUUUUAUUUUGGUCCUUAAAGUUUUUUUCUCGAUGAUUUAAUUCUAAUUAAAGGCCAAUUGAUUGUAAUUUUUUAGGAAAAGGUGGGGUUGAAAGAAGAGGGACUAUAAUGAAAAAGGUGUCAAACAUGGAUGACAUGCCAUAAGUUUUGACAACAAAUACACUUUGAUCCUCAAACUUUAAAAAUAACAUAAAUUAUACAAUUUCAGUACCUCAAUAUUUUUCAAGUUUAAUUUUUGUACAAAAACUUAUUUUUAUUAUUUUUUAGUCCCUGACUAGACAGAUGAGAGAAAAAGGUCGUCGAAUUACAAAAGUAGUAAGAGAAAAAAUAUUGUUGAUACCGAUUUAAGUCAUCAAAACAGUCAAUAUUUGUGUCAAAUGGUUCCAAUUGAUGAUGAGAAUUUAUAUUAAGUAUUUUUUUUCCCUAAAAGUCCUUGAAAAUACAUAUACAAGCUCAAUUUGAAUUUUGGUUUCUGGUUUAUUUUAGUUUUUUGGGUGGUUUUUUUUUUCCCCAAGAUAAAUUUAUCACAGUUUUAAUGUUUUCUAGGUUUUUAUUCAAGCCACCUGCCCUAAAUGAAGCAAAAAAAUAAAAAUAAAGACCCAAUCGACCCAUCCUUCCAGGGCAAGUCCAUGCACGAGCCUUGAAGAAAUGGGCUAGUCAGGCCCAACAACACCUAGCUUUUUUCUGUUUUUUAAUUAAUGUUUUUUAUUUUAUUUGUAUUUAGAUUAAUAUCUCUUCUCUAUUUUAUUUUGUUUAAAAAACCUCUUUUAAAUUAGUUAAAAAACAGGUGUUUUGAAAAAAAAAAAAGUUAGAAGUCCAAUUUUCCAAUUAUCAGAAUAUUUUUUUUCAAGUCACCCUACCCCAAAUGCAGCAAAAACAAUAAGGGCUCAGUCGCUCCAUUUUUCAACACAAGUCCAGGCACGAGCCUUGAAAAAAUGAGCCAGACAAGCUAGCUUGAUACAAAAGCGCCUGGUUUUUUUUGUUUUUUUAAUUAAUAUUUUUUUAUUUCAAUAUUUUUUAUUUUAUUUGUAUUUAGAUUAAUAAUUCUUUUCUUUUUUAUUUUGUUUUGAAAGCUUCUUUUAAAUAACAAUUAUUUUUUAGUUAUAUAUAUAAUUUUUGAAAAAAAAUUUCUUAUUCAUCUAUAAUCUUUUAUAAUUUUUUUUAAUAUUUUGUAUAUAUGAACUUUGUUUUGAAGAGGGGAAAAAAUUUAUUUGCAGAUAAUAUAUUGCAUAAUAUUUUUUUAUUUAAAUAAUUAAUGUGUAUUUAUUUAUAUUAUCAUUUAAUUGAAUAAAAAACCAUUUAACUACUUAGAAAAUUUUUAUAUAAACAAGUUAAACCAUUUUUAUAUAACAUUCUACAGAAAAGUUUGUGCUGGGAAGACCCCCAGCAUGUAAUCUAGGGAGAUUUGUCUUAACCAUAUCCUCUCAGUAAAGUUUUGGGAUCUAAGAUCCCUGCCACAUUAACAUCAGAGUGUUUAGAUUUGUGGUUUAGCGUAUUUUUUAAUACUAUUUAAAAAUAUAUUAAAAUAAUAUUUUUUAAAAUUUUUAACAAACAUAUAAAAAAAACUAAAAAGUAUUAUUUUAAAAAAUAAAAAUACGGUUCAACUUUAUCUCCGCGGCACACCACAAAUACAAACACAAAUUACUCGGUAGAAUGCAAGUAGAGAAGUUAUAUAGACAAGUUAAACCAUUUAACUGACUUCAUUGUCACACUCAGGAGAGUUGGAUUGCAGAUCAUACGCAAUUCAUGCUGCUGAAUAUUAUAACAGAACGAUAGUAUACUAGUUUAAAGGAUUUCAUAUUCGUAUAUACACCCUGAAAUGCCACCAGCUGUGGAUUUCGGAUUUCUUUGUAAAGCUCCAAGGCGCAGGCAUCACUCAUGCGAAGCUGGCAACAAUGGCAGCAGAGCUGUCCUACUAUUCAAGCUUCAAGCUAGCAUAUUUGGAUAACAGCUCCUG